ACUAUAAAAUGUUUUCUUAUUCCACAGAUAUUUUCGUCCCCCACACCCCCCCAACCUCUCUCUCUCUACUAUCGUCUCUCUCUACUCGCUCUUCUUCCAUACAAAUCUUCAUGUAUCCUUAAAUGAAGCAGAUUUCUUAGAAUCUCCUUCAAAUCUCUCUUUAUUGUUUCCCUCCGAUUCUCCCACAGAUUUUCCUCUAAUUUUUUUUUCUUCUGAUUUUAACAUCUUUCCUCUUCCAAUCUAGACUGUUCAGUUGGCUUUUCUAAACUAUUUGUAGCCUUUGUAAGCUUUACAUUUACGAUUAAAUGCUGCUUUCUUCAAAAAGAUAUUUUAGAGUAGCAACGGAGCUGGAUGGAAGCGCCUGAUGCUUUUCGCUUUUAGGAAUUUCAAACCUUUUUCAUGCGAACACCCUGAAGACUCAUUUCCAAUUGGCUCUCCAAAUUCUGCAAAUCUGUUAUGCUUAAGCCAGAAAGUUGUUCACCCAUCAUUUGCCUGUUAUCAUCAUAUGGAAAUGCAGAUUUUUCCAACAGCAUUAGCUAUCUUGGAUGCUUCCUUUUAUGUUCCGAUAUUACUAGGAAGAAAUAGAUGGGCAAAAGAUAAUUGGAGAAAUGACUUGUUCAGCUGUAGACGUGAUACUAGAGGUAUUUAUAGGAGAGGGUGUAUGGUUGCUGCCUUCUUGUGGCCCCUUUUGCUCCUGAUGCACAAUGCUGACAUUUCUUAGAGGUGACCGAGAUGAACUUUUUCAGUGUGACACAAGUGAUUUUUUUUGUGUUUGUGUCUAAAUUGUUAGUGAUCACAUGGACACCAGUACCACCUGCAAGUGUCUGACUUAAAUAAUAGCAUGCUCCUUUGAAAGUUUCAGUUUUUUAUAUUUGAUCUGUCGCAAUUAUUCUAUUUUCAGUCUUUAUGUUCAUUUAUCUUCAUAUAAAACACUAUUGUUUGAAGGGAAUGGAUCAUACCGAUGAUUUUCUUGCAAGGUUUGCAGUUGCUGUCUCAACACUGCUGCCUCCCUUUGCCAGAACUAGCAAAAUAUAAUGCACAAUUUAGUGGAAUUACCAACUUUUGUGGUUAACAUGCAUUCACUAAAAUGAAGAGUAAUUGCCUUCUGCUGUUAUGAGAACACAUCUGAAGAAAAAGGGAUAAAAAAAAUCAUCCUUUUCAUUCUGAUAAGCCACUGUCUAAUCUCCAUAUAGUGAUUAUGAUUCAAUACACCAUAUUUUUUCUUUUUCAUGUCUGAAUACCACCCCCUCUCUAACCUUCCAUGUAGCUCUACCUUUAUCUCGACAAAACUAGAAAGCAUUUUUAAUAGACUAUGACGUGCUUCAAGAUGACAUGUAUUUUCUUGCUACUGAUAAAAUGUCUUGUGAGUUCUAUCUGCACGCAGAUGGUCCCAAUCCCAUUGCAGAUAAAGGAGGACAGUUGCGGUUAGCAGAGGUCCAGUGUAAGAUAUGAUGCUACACCUUAAAGCUUGAAUGAAUCAAUAAGGCUUGGUUGUGUGGAGUUCGUAUGCUUUAUCAUAUGCGUAUUUAUUUAUUCAAUUGGGCCGUGCUUUGCUGGAGCCUGAAGACAUGACAUGUUAGUUGACAUAUACUUGUGUUUUUAAUUUCAGUUUAUCCUGCUAAUUUAGAACAAUAACACAGAUGAUUUCCUGUCUACACUUUGAAGCUUAAUGAAGUACAUUUCUGUGGUAGAAACAA